rnacentral:rRNA from 1 species
AUUGAACGCUGGCGGCAGGCCUAACACAUGCAAGUCGAGCGGAUGAGGGGAGCUUGCUCCCUGAUUUAGCGGCGGACGGGUGAGUAAUGCGUAGGAAACUGCCCGAUAGAGGGGGAUACCAGUUGGAAACGACUGUUAAUACCGCAUAAUGUCUACGGACCAAAGUGUGGGACCUUCGGGCCACAUGCUAUCAGAUGCGCCUACGUGGGAUUAGCUAGUUGGUGAGGUAAUGGCUCACCAAGGCGACGAUCUCUAGCUGGUUUGAGAGGAUGAUCAGCCACACUGGAACUGAGACACGGUCCAGACUCCUACGGGAGGCAGCAGUGGGGAAUAUUGGACAAUGGGCGCAAGCCUGAUCCAGCCAUGCCGCGUGUGUGAAGAAGGCCUUCGGGUUGUAAAGCACUUUCAGCGAGGAGGAAGGGUGGUGUGUUAAUAGCACAUCAUUUUGACGUUACUCGCAGAAGAAGCACCGGCUAACUCUGUGCCAGCCGCCGCCGUAACAC